rnacentral:rRNA from 1 species
UAGGGAAUCUUCCACAAUGGACGAAAGUCUGAUGGAGCAACGCCGCGUGAGUGAUGAAGGGUUUCGGCUUGUAAAACUCUGUUGUUGGAGAAGAACGGGUGUCAGAGUAACUGUUGACAUCGUGACGGUAUCCAACCAGAAAGCCACGGCUAACUACGUGCCAGCAGCCGCGGUAAUACGUAGGUGGCAAGCGUUGUCCGGAUUUAUUGGGCGUAAAGCGAGCGCAGGCGGUUUUUUAGGUCUGAUGUGAAAGCCUUCGGCUUAACCGGAGAAGUGCAUCGGAAACCGGGAGACUUGAGUGCAGAAGAGGACAGUGGAACUCCAUGUGUAGCGGUGAAAUGCGUAGAUAUAUGGAAGAACACCAGUGGCGAAGGCGGCUGUCUGGUCUGCAACUGACGCUGAGGCUCGAAAGCAUGGGUAGCGAACAGGAUUAGAUACCCUGGUAGUCCAUGCCAUAAACGAUGAGUGCUAAGUGUUGGAGGGUUUCCGCCCUUCAGUGCUGCAGUUAACGCAUUAAGCACUCCGCCUGGGGAGU